CAGAGGUGACAGGUGGUGCAUGGUUGUCGUCAGCUCGUGUCGUGAGAUGUUGGGUUAAGUCCCGCAACGAGCGCAACCCUUAUCUUCAGUAGCCAGCAAUUCGGUUGGGCACUCUGGAGAGACUGCCAGGGAUAACCUGGAGGAAGGUGGGGAUGACGUCAAAUCAUCAUGCCCCUUAUGAUUUGGGCUACACACGUGCUACAAUGGCGUAAACAAAGGGAAGCAGCCCUGUGAAGGUGAGCAAAUCCCAAAAAUAACGUCUCAGUUCGGAUUGUAGUCUGCAACUCGACUACAUGAAGCUGGAAUCGCUAGUAAUCGCGAAUCAGAAUGUCGCGGUGAAUACGUUCCCGGGUCUUGUACACACCGCCCGUCACACCAUGGGAGUCGGAAAUGCCCGAAGUCAGUGACCCAACCGUAAGGAGGGAGCUGCCGAAGGUGGAGCCGGUAACUGGGGUGAAGUCGUAACAAGGUAGCCGUAUCGGAAGGUGCGGCUGGAUCACCUC
rnacentral:rRNA from 1 species